rnacentral:rRNA from 1 species
UACGUAGGGGGCAAGCGUUGUCCGGAAUUAUUGGGCGUAAAGAGCUCGUAGGCGGUUUGUCGCGUCGGCCGUGAAAACUUGGGGCUUAACCCCAAGCUUGCGGUCGAUACGGGCAGACUUGAGUUCGGCAGGGGAGACUGGAAUUCCUGGUGUAGCGGUGAAAUGCGCAGAUAUCAGGAGGAACACCGGUGGCGAAGGCGGUGGUCUGGGCCGGCACUGACGCUGAGGAGCGAAAGCGUGGGGAGCAAACAGG